GUGUUUUUGAUUGAGAUUAAUAUUUCAAUCUGCAGACAGAGAAAAGAUUACCCUUCCCAAUGUGUGUGGGCAUCAUCCAGUCCACUGAAAGCCAGACCAGAAUUUCCAUUAUCAGCUCUCCUGGGUUGCCAUCUGAUAAUCUUUGGAUUUCUCCAUAUCAUGCCCUCAAAUACAGCCACAUUCUGGGACCACAAAUUAUGAACAUAUGAAUUUUUGACACUGGAGACUGUGAAAGCAAAUCAGCCCAGGGUCUAAUUGGUGUCAGGCUCCGUACAUGAACACGAUGGUGGAGGUAAUUACCUACAGUUCUGGGAGCACCCAGAGAACAAAGUAAUUAAUUCAUUAGGCCAGAGGGUUAUUAGAGAGACUCCACAGAGAAGGCUAAAAGGAAACAUUGCACAGGAGCGGCAGGGCAGGAAGCAUGCUUUAUGAAGAUUUACCCGGCAGCAGGUACGAAGUUGGCAGAAGAGACAGGAGGAUGACGCUGAGAAGGGAAGGGCUCGAGGCAUAAAACAGUUAACAAACUGUUGAAGCUGUCUUGGGGAGAGGUAAUUAAUUCCACUCAGCUGUUAGUUGGUGUUCUGACUGUACACAUUUAGAAUGAUGGGCUUUGACAGGCCCAAUGCUGUUUUGCAGUAUAGAUGGUAAAAUAGUCAUUUCAUAGAAAAAUCAAUACGGAAUCUUUUUGCCUAAUUGAUCCCUAAGCUCUCAACUUCUGCCUCCACUCCCAGCACUGCUCCCUUAAAUCACACCCCUUCCCCGUCCUCUUCUCACCCUCUGCUUCACUGUGCACCAUCUCCCUCUUAGGGCAAACAGCAUGAACAUGUAGUUGUUAUUAGUUGACUUUGUGUGGCUGAAGGCCAGUGAACAAUUGCAUCCUUCUCAUCUCACCUGUCUCCCAUCACACCGACUGGAGACAUCAGAACAGGCAGCCAUCUCCAGAAUACAUCAGCCCCUCCAGGACCUGCUCAGGUUGGCAGAUUCCUGCUUGGGAACCAAGAGCUAUGGGCAGAAGGGCUAGCUGUCAGCAGCAGGAAACUUCCCACGUCAGAGGGCUCCCGCCAUCCCGACCCCAUGUCUUCUGAGCUGGAGAUCCCUCGCUGCCCAUCCACAUGGCACCCUGAGGCUCUAGCUCCCACCACUGCCCCAAAUCCUCACACUCGGGGCUCGGGGCCAGGUGCACAGGCCUCAGAGCUGGCAGAAAGGGAGCUGCCUGCAGCCAGGAAGGUAUUUUCUUUACCAGCCCACCCAAAUGUUGUUUGGCUGGCAUUGCCUCUGAGCUUUUCAGAAAUGAAAAAGAGGGAUAGGGAAGUGGGAGCCCUGGUGGGCUCUGGAACCCUUUCUGUUUUCUCAAGGGCAUCGCAGUAGGUCCAAAAUGUCUCUGGGUUUGAAAGUGAAAUGCCGGCACAGAGCAGAUUCCUGAUGAAUGUGGCCCAGAUGUUUCUAAGUGAUUUAUUUUUGUUAAUGGAAAAUGGCUGAGCUAAUAACUCUCAGAAACAUUUCUGUAGGGAGAGUUGAAGCCUGUUUUGCCUCUGUGCUUCUUGUUUUUGCUUGUGGUUUACUUUUAGGGAAGAAAUUGGAUGUAGGAAAAAGUCCAAAUAACAACUUUGUCUAUGCGACAGCUGAUGCCAAAAUCCCAGGCAUAGCUUUUGUGACCUGAUUUCUACCAAUUAUUGACCAUUCACUGAGGCCCAAGUUCUUCUCGUCAAUUACCUCAUUUAAUCCUUAUGGCAAAGAGGAGACCAAGGCUCAGAGCGAUGACAUGUCCUACCCAGCCAGAGCCACACAGUCUAUGACAGCAUGACUGAGAAUUGAACCUCAAGUUUUGACUCCAGAUCAAAACCACCAUACUCUAUAGGGAAAUAGCAAAGAAAAUACAAGGGUUAAAAGAUACCAUGAGAGGCUGGGUGCAGUGGAUCAUGCCUGUAAUCCCAGUACCUUGGGAGGCCGAGGUGGGCUGAGUACCUGAGGCCAGGAAUUCGAGACCAGCCUGACCAAUAUGACAAAACCCUGUCUCUAC